ensembl:lncRNA LINC00858 long intergenic non-protein coding RNA 858
ACAGCUCCGGUCUACAGCUCCCAGCGUGAGCGACGCAGAAGACGGGUGAUUUCUGCAUUUCCAUCUGAGUUAGGCUUGGCCACAAGAGACAAAUUGCAAGGCAUGGAGACAUUUUUCUAACACUUGAAAAUUCUAUGCAAGAGCACCAGGCAGCUCAGUCACCUUGUCACUUAUCUACUGGGUCACCUUGUUGGCAUGGGAUGCCAGCCAGGCUUGCAGCUGCUCCAUCCUCCCCUGAAUUUGUACUUCAGCUUCUCCACUCAUGGCCUGCCCUGAGGACUUCAUGGUUCAGCAUCAGAUAUGAAGACGACAGCCCUAUAGAGACUAUUUAACCAGCUUCUAAGGUGGUUAAAUAUCUUACCAGCCUAUGAUGAAGAAAGGGAAACUCACUUCAGGUCAAUAGAGAUUGUCAUUUGGGACCCCUUCAAGACAACCAAUUAUAUGACUGUCUCUAAAAUAUUGCUAUCCAGCCCCCAUUCCUCACUUUUGUCCUACUGGUAAUAAGACAUUCAUCGUGUAUCUUUCAGAAGUCCAGAUACCACAGUCUGAGUAGUUCUUUAAUCUGCUUAUCUGGUGAUUCCAUCACAAAUGGUUCAGCCCCACCCCAUGAAAAGGAUGUCUAUUCAAUCAGAGAGACACAAAGAUGGCUUGUGCAAACCAAGCAAAAAAGACACAAGAGGAAUUUAUUCUGGUUAAUAAGCUGAGAGCAAACAUGUAGAGGCUAAUUGUAUGCCCAGCUCCUUACACACGUUGGAUGCUACUAUUUCCAAAAUGUCAACAACACUUUGGACUAUCAACCUGUCUAAAGAGUAUUUGAAGCAGUGAUGCAGGCCUCUGAAGGAAAAGGUGCACAUUUUCAACAAUAAAAGAGAGACAUUCCUUUAGUGUAUCUCCACAUUCCCUGAAGGGGAGCUGGAAUGACAUGACGGACUUGGCCUCAGGGCCCCAAGCCUUCCCUGUUGCAGUCUUCAUGACACUCCUCAGAAGCAGCAACUCCAGCCAUGUCUGGAACCAUUCCUUACCAGACAGGAGGAUAUCAUGGCCUCAACUCAUGAUCUGUACCAAGCCAAACCUCUUUUGGGGUACCCACCAAGCCUCAGGCCUCACCUUCUCUGCCCUGUUGUCCCUGCCCAUCUGUCCUGGUUUUCUACUAGUUUCCACUACUGGACACUUGUCUGAGGCUGGGUCCCCACCUGGAUCUUGUGGCCUCUUGCCCAGGGCUUGGAGGGAAGCUGCUCCCACACUUGAAGAUGACAGCUGAGCAUGGUCCUUUGUGGGCGUGCUGUCAGGAAGAUGACAGUGCAAUCUGUUUAAUGUGCCAGUUGUCUCUGUGAGUCCCUCAUCCGGAUGAGCACUUGUCACACCCCUGCAGAGCCCCAGCUGGUUCUUAGAGAGGUGCUCCAGCUCUGUGAUUACCUAAUCUGGCUUCCCAAUCUAUCCCACAAUGUGUCAUUGCUGAGGUCCCUGUGGGUCUUGCAGAUAAACUUGCUACAGUCAUCCUACACAAAAAAGAAGCUCGUUAUCAUGAAACCGGCCUGCUUUUUAGCUCCUGGGCCCUAACUCACCCCAGAUUGCUGCCAGCUCUUUUGUUUUCCCACUUAGACCAAAGGGAUUGAGAAGCUUUCCCAUUCCUUGGAGCUGCCACCCUCCAUUCUAAGGCAGUCUCCCCCUUCACCCUGCUUGCUGCACCCCAGAUGCUGCAAGGCCCAUGUGCUGUUUUUGACUUCAGUACUUCAGAUUGCUGUGGGAACACAGGAGGCAGCAGCCAGAUGAGAAAUUGAGUCUGACUCUGGAGUAUUAUAAAGUCCUUAUAGUUACUGGCAUUAGGUAUAGGGUCUGUAUUAUUAAAGAGAAAUUAUUCACCAAACACUUGUUAAAAAUGGCAAGACAGUUUAUUUAAGAGCAUUGCAAUAGGUAAGUGCUAUGGUCUCAAUGUUUGUGUCUCCCUCAAAUUCAUAAGUUGAAACUUCACUUCCAAGAUGAAGGAAUUAGGAGGUGGGCACUUUAAGGGAUGAUUAUGUCAUAGGCCAGAGCCCUCAUGAACGAGAUCAGUGCCCUUCUAAAAGAGGCAUUGGGAGAGACCCCUCACCUUUUCCAUCAUAUGAGGACACAGCCAGGAAGCAUCAUCCACGAACCAGAAAAUUGGCCCUUACCAGACACUGAAUCUGCUGAUGUCCUGACCAUGGACUUCUGAGCCUUCUGAACUGUGAGAGAUAAAUUUCUGUUGUUUAUAA